rnacentral:rRNA from 1 species
UACGAAGGGGGCUAGCGUUGUUCGGAAUCAUUGGGCGUAAAGGGCGCGUAGGCGGCUUUGCAAGUCGGGCGUGAAAGCCCUGGGCUUAACCCAGGAAUAGCGCCCGAAACUGCGAGGCUUGAGUCCGGGAGAGGAGAGUGGAAUUCCCAGUGUAGAGGUGAAAUUCGUAGAUAUUGGGAAGAACACCAGUGGCGAAGGCGGCUCUCUGGACCGGUACUGACGCUGAGGCGCGAAAGCGUGGGGAGCAAACAGG